rnacentral:rRNA from 1 species
AGAGUUUGAUCCUGGCUCAGGACGAACGCUGGCGGCGUGCUUAACACAUGCAAGUCGAACGAGAAUCUACGGAUCGAGGAUUCGUCCAAGAGAAGUAGAGGACAGUGGCGGACGGGUGAGUAACGCGUGAGGAACCUGCCUUUCAGAGGGGGACAACAGUUGGAAACGACUGCUAAUACCGCAUGACACAUUGGAGUCGCAUGGCUCUGAUGUCAAAGAUUUAUCGCUGAAAGAUGGCCUCGCGUCUGAUUAGCUAGUUGGUGAGGUAACGGCCCACCAAGGCGACGAUCAGUAGCCGGACUGAGAGGUUGACCGGCCACAUUGGGACUGAGAUACGGCCCAGACUCCUACGGGAGGCAGCAGUGGGGAAUAUUGGGCAAUGGGCGCAAGCCUGACCCAGCAACGCCGCGUGAAGGAAGAAGGCUUUCGGGUUGUAAACUUCUUUUGUCGGGGACGAAACAAAUGACGGUACCCGACGAAUAAGCCACGGCUAACUACGUGCCAGCAGCCGCGGUAAUACGUAGGUGGCAAGCGUUAUCCGGAUUUACUGGGUGUAAAGGGCGUGUAGGCGGGAUUGCAAGUCAGAUGUGAAAACUGGGGGCUCAACCUCCAGCCUGCAUUUGAAACUGUAGUUCUUGAGUGCUGGAGAGGCAAUCGGAAUUCCGUGUGUAGCGGUGAAAUGCGUAGAUAUACGGAGGAACACCAGUGGCGAAGGCGGAUUGCUGGACAGUAACUGACGCUGAGGCGCGAAAGCGUGGGGAGCAAACAGGAUUAGAUACCCUGGUAGUCCACGCCGUAAACGAUGGAUACUAGGUGUGGGAGGUAUUGACCCCUUCCGUGCCGCAGUUAACACAAUAAGUAUCCCACCUGGGGAGUACGACCGCAAGGUUGAAACUCAAAGGAAUUGACGGGGGCCCGCACAAGCGGUGGAGUAUGUGGUUUAAUUCGAAGCAACGCGAAGAACCUUACCAGGUCUUGACAUCCGAUGCAUAGUGCAGAGAUGCAUGAAGUCCUUCGGGACAUCGAGACAGGUGGUGCAUGGUUGUCGUCCUGUCUCUUAUACACAUAUGACGCUGCCGACGAAGAGGAUAGUGGAGAUGUAGGAGGUCGCCGUAGCAUUCAAAAAAAAAAAA